ACAUGGGACGAAAACCUGAUGCAGCAACGCCGCGUGAAGGAAGAAGGCUUUCGAUGCGUAAACUUCUGUGCCAAAGGGAAGAAUAAUGACGGUACCUUUGAAGAAAGCCCCGGCUAACUACGUGCCAGCAGCCGCGGUAAUACGUAGGGGGCGAGCGUUAUCCGGAAUUACUGGGCGUAAAGAGUAUGUAGGUGGUUAAGUAAGCGUAGGGUUUAAGGCGACAGCCCAACUGUCGUAUGCCCCGCGAACUGUUUAACUUGAGUACAGGAGGGGAAGGCGGAAUUCCUAGUGUAGCGGUGAAAUGCGUAGAUAUUAGGAGGAACACCAGUGGCGAAGCGGCCUUCUGGACUGUAACUGACACUGAGAUACGAAAGCGUGGGUAGCAAACAGGAUUAGAUACCCUGGUAGUCCACGCCGUAAACGAUGAGCACUAGGUGUCGGGCUCGCAAGAGUUCGGUGCCGGAGCAAACGCAUUAAAGUGCUCCGCCUGGGGGAGUACGCACGCCAGUGUGAAACUCA
rnacentral:rRNA from 1 species